rnacentral:snoRNA from 1 species
CGUCUAAUGAUGUCUAUAUAGCGAUUACUACAACCUGAUCUUAUUUGAAAAAGAGAUCUCUCUUCCGUGUGAACUUCAAAUUAAAUAGCUGAAGAUG